AGGGUCCCUGGGAGCCCGAGCCUGAGAUCGGAGAGCAGGUCUUUGCUCUGUCUCUCCGUGGGUCUGGUGCAGCCGACUAACACUGCAGCAUGGACUAAAGAAUCUGCAUUUUCAGCAAGCAGUUUCUCUGAUGAGCGGGCAAGUUUGACAAAUACAGGUAAUAGCAGAAUCACAAGAUAGAAAAAAGUUAAUCCUUGAAUGGCCUCAUGGAGCAGAACCAUCUUCGGCAACCUGAACCCAACC